rnacentral:rRNA from 1 species
UACAGAGGUCCCAAGCGUUGUUCGGAUUCACUGGGCGUAAAGGGUGCGCAGGUGGGUUUGCAAGUUCGAUGUGAAAGCCCUGGGCUCAACCUGGGAAUUGCAUUGGAUACUGGCAGGCUAGAGUGCGGUAGAGGGUAGUGGAAUUCCCGGUGUAGCAGUGAAAUGCGUAGAGAUCGGGAGGAACACCAGUGGCGAAGGCGACUACCUGGACCAGCACUGACACUGAGGCACGAAAGCGUGGGGAGCAAACAGG